GCUCGUAGUUGGAUUCCUGACCUGGGGUAGCCGGUCCGCCUUGCAAAAGGUGCGCACUGAGCGGCCUCGGUCAUCCUUGAGAAGAGCGGUCCUGGCAUUCAGUUGUCGGGGUCGGGAUUCUCGACGUUUACUGUGAAAAAAUCAGAGUGUUCAACGCAGGCUUACGCCUUGAAUACAUUAGCAUGGAAUAAUGAGAUAGGACCUUGGCGGUCUAUUUUGUUGGUUUGCACGCCGAGGUAAUGAUUAAAAGGGACGGUUGGGGUUCUUCGUAUUCAAUUGUCAGAGGUGAAAUUCUUGGAUUUAUGGAAGACGAACUGCUGCGAAAGCGUCGAACAAGGACGUUCUCAUUAAUCAAGAACGAAAGUUAGGGGAUCGAAGAUGAUUAGAUACCAUCGUAGUCUUAACCAUAAACUAUGCCGAUUCAGGAUUGGCGGUCGUUUGUUCUCGACUCCGUCAGCACUGUAUGAGAAAUCAAAAUCUUUGGGUUCCGGGGGGAGUAUGGUCGCAAGGCUGAAACUUAAAGAAAUUGACGGAAGGGCACCACCAGGAGUGGAGCCUGCGGCUUAAUUUGACUCAACACGGGGAAACUUACCAGGUCCAGACAUAGUAAGGAUUGACAGAUUGAGAGCU
rnacentral:rRNA from 1 species